AAUUUUCCGCAAUGGGCGAAAGCCUGACGGAGCAAUCUCGCGUGAGGGAUGACGGCCUAUGGGUUGUAAACCUCUUUUUUCAGGGAGGAACAAAAUGACGUGUACCUGAAGAAUAAGCAUCGGCUAACUCCGUGCCAGCAGCCGCGGUAAGACGGAGGAUGCAAGUGUUAUCCGGAAUCACUGGGCGUAAAGCGUCUGUAGGUGGUUUGAUAAGUCAACUGUUAAAUCUUGAAGCUCAACUUCAAAAUCGCAGUCGAAACUAUUAGACUUGAGUAUAGUAGGGGUAAAGGGAAUUUCCAGUGGAGCGGUGAAAUGCGUAGAGAUUGGAAAGAACACCGAUGGCGAAGGCACUUUACUGGGCUAUUACUGACACUCAGAGACGAAAGCUAGGGUAGCAAAUGGGAUUAGAUACCCCAGUAGUCCUAGCCGUAAACAAUGGAUACUAGAUGUUGAACAGAUCGACCUGUGCAGUAUUAAAGCUAACGCGUUAA
rnacentral:rRNA from 1 species